GAGUUGGACGCUCCCUUUCGUCUCUACGGUCUGACCAUGAAUCCUCUGCUGUACAACAUCACUCAGGUGGUGAUUCUGUCGGCCGUGUCGGGGGUCAUCAGUGACCUGCUGGGCUUCAACCUGAAGCUCUGGAAGAUCAAGUCGUGACGGUGAAUCUGCAGCGAGGCCUGCUUCUCAAACACAGGGUGGCACCGUUUGACCUUCAGGGUCUUCCUGACAAUGAACUCUUGACCUGUCGCUCGGUCGUAUCAGAGUGCUUGUGCAAUUCAGCUAUUUAUUUGACCCUUUCAGUGUUUUUUUUAUUCUGAAGUAUUUGUUUUAGCUGUUACAAUUGUUUUAAGUAUUAUUUUAGCUCAUGAUGAUUAUGUUCUCAUAGGAAAGAUAAUCCAGUGCGGUCUGAUCGGUGAGUUACUGAAACCAACAGAAAAGGUGAUUAUCACUGGAACAGAAGAAACUGACACACACACACACACACACACACACA